rnacentral:rRNA from 1 species
UCGGGAAUAUUGCGCAAUGGAGGAAACUCUGACGCAGUGACGCCGCGUAUAGGAAGAAGGUUUUCGGAUUGUAAACUAUUGUCCACAGGGAAGAUAAAAGACUGUACCUGUGAAGAAAGCUCCGGCUAACUACGUGCCAGCAGCCGCGGUAAUACGUAGGGAGCAAGCGUUAUCCGGAAUUAUUGGGUGUAAAGGGUGCGUAGACGGGAUAACAAGUUGGUUGUGAAACCCCUCGGCUCAACUGAGGAACUGCAACCAAAACUAUUAUUCUUGAGUGCAGGAGAGGAAAGUGGAAUUCCUAGUGUAGCGGUGAAAUGCGUAGAUAUUAGGAAGAACACCGGUGGCGAAGGCGACUUUCUGGACUGUAACUGACGUUGAGGCACGAAAGUGUGGGGAGCAAACAGG